UAGCGGGGGGAAUGCCGGCCUGUCUCUGGGUUCCCGCCCGGCUGUGAGUCAGGCGGCAGAGGGGACAGACCCGGCCAGGGGGCACAGAGGGGCCACCCGGGCAGAAGCACAUAUUCUGCAAUCUCAGAUUUCAGAGUCGGAGUCGGCAGGGGAAGUGGCGUCAGCAGCUGGCGUGAUCCAAUUCAAUAAACCAGAGGUGGCUAGGGACAGAAAGCCGGGCGGGCGCGGACCCCCGCCUCCCAAUCCUGCAUUUCCUGCACAGUCAGGGUGCCAUGGGAAGCCCCGGCUCCCUCCCCGCCCCGCCUAAGGCCGGCUGCUGAGGAGUCAGGUUUCCUGCGGUGCCCUCCACGUCCCCCGCAGUCUGCCGCCCCUCCUCCGGCCCAGCUCGCCACCCGGGCUCCCAAAGCCAGAGCCGCCUCCCUCUCCCGCGACCCCGGAAACGCGAAGCCCCUGCUUUGGCCAGGGCCCCUUCGAAAGAGUGCACAGAGCUCUGCUCCCCGGGGAUCCGGCCGGAGCUUCCAGGCCGCGGCACCUCUCGGGAAAGGAAACCUGACCCUCCUAUGGCCCGCGGGGACAGAAGGUGGAGAGGGGGGUGAAGAGGAGGGAACGGCGGGCGCAGGAAGCGUCUGGAGGCCUGGAGCAAGAGCGCCGGCACCCGCGAGCGGAGGGGCAGCCUCGGGAUUCCCGGAACUCAGCGACCCCUGGAAUAAGGAGCAGCCCCUUCCCCAGUGCUGGCCCCACCUGCAGGGCCCGCGUGGUUCCAGAGGGCUAGGGGCGCCACCUCGCCUCCCAGCCUCUGGGCCUCGGCGCCCAGGGCAGGGUUAGCCUGGACCUCGCUCGGGGAUUAGAGCGUGGGCCGCCGCUCCUCUGCAGACGCGCGACGAAGAUACAGAGCGACCGGGGUGGGGGUGGGGGUGAGGGGACAGCUGCGCCCUCCCCUGCCCCCGCCCGGGCGAGAAGACAGAGGACGAGAACGGGAGAGGGCACCCAGAGCGCCGGGGGGCGCAGCCCCUGUGUAUCCCGAAGACCCUGGGCAGCGCUCGCCGGGAGGUGACAGCUCCCGGCCCCGGAUCACUGUAAUUGUAAUAAAAACAGCCUGACAGCAGGGAGCGCUUAUUGUGAGCCUGGUACUCUGCUGGGUGUCCGCCGACAGGCAUUGUCUUCGGUCAGUCUCCACGCAGUCCCUAAGGUUCAUUGUAUAUGCCUGAGAGCUAACUGUGGGCCCAGCUGCGUUUCACCCUAAAGGUCCUGUGGCUGCAGACACACACCUGGAUGGAGCAGUGCUGCCCAGCGCAUCCCACCUGUGCCCAUACAGCUUCUAAUGCCAGCUUCUACCAGACCAGCCUUGUUCCCAGCCCCCAGGAGCUGCCAGAGGCCCUGAGGACUCAGCCAAGCUCUAACUGGUGGACCCUGGCUGCACAGCAGUCUCUUACAAGAAGGUACCUUACUUUGUUAAAUCAGUCGCUGCUAUGAACCUGGAUGAUUUCCAGACUCUGCUGUCACAACAGUAGGACUAUGCAGAUCCUCAACCACAGGCCUGCAAGUGUAUCUGGAGGGGAAUUGUUCGGUAGAUGCACCCCAAGGCUGCCCCAGGGUAUAUCCCCAACAGCAAUUCGAGUUAAUAUUUCCCCAUGUUGUGUCCAAACCAGUGUGUUGUUGGAUUUUUUUUAUUCUUAUCAA